rnacentral:rRNA from 1 species
AAUCCUCGGGAGGAGCUUUGGGAAUAUUCGCAAUGGAGAAAGUCUGACGAGCACCCCGCGUGAAUGAUGAAGUUUUUGGAUCGUAAAGUUCUGUUGUUAGGGAAGAACAAGUGCGAGAGUAACUGCUCGCACCUUGACGGUACCUAACCAGAAAGCCACGGCUAACUACGUGCCAGCAGCCGCGGUAAUACGUAGGUGGCAAGCGUUGUCCGGAAUUAUUGGGCGUAAAGGGCUCGCAGGCGGUUUCUUAAGUCUGAUGUGAAAGCCCCCGGCUCAACCGGGGAGGGUCAUUGGAAACUGGGAAACUUGAGUGCAGAAGAGGAGAGUGGAAUUCCACGUGUAGCGGUGAAAUGCGUAGAGAUGUGGAGGAACACCAGUGGCGAAGGCGACUCUCUGGUCUGUAACUGACGCUGAGGAGCGAAAGCGUGGGGAGCGAACAGGAUUAGAUACCCUGGUAGUCCACGCCGUAAACGAUGAGUGCUAAGUGUUAGGGGGUUUCCGCCCCUUAGUGCUGCAGCUAACGCAUUAAGCACUCCGCCUGGGGAGUACGGUCGCAAGACUGAAACUCAAAGGAAUUGACGGGGGCCCGCACAAGCGGUGGAGCAUGUGGUUUAAUUCGAAGCAACGCGAAGAACCUUACCAGGUCUUGACAUCCUCUGACAACCCUAGAGAUAGGGCUUUCCCUUCGGGGACAGAGUGACAGGUGGUGCAUGGUUGUCGUCAGCUCGUGUCGUGAGAUGUUGGGUUAAGUCCCGCAACGAGCGCAACCCUUGAUCUUAGUUGCCAGCAUUCAGUUGGGCACUUUAAGGUGACUGCCGGUGACAAACCGGAGGAAGGUGGGGAUGACGUCAAAUCAUCAUGCCCCUUAUGACCUGGGCUACACACGUGCUACAAUGGACAGAACAAAGGGCUGCAAGACCGCAAGGUUUAGCCAAUCCCAUAAAUCUGUUCUCAGUUCGGAUCGCAGUUUGCAACUCGACUGCGUGAAGCUGGAAUCGCUAGUAAUCGCGGAUCAGCAUGCCGCGGUGAAUACGUUCCCGGGCCUUGUACACACCGCCCGUCACACCACGAGAGUUUGCAACACCCGAAGUCGGUGAGGUAACCUUUAUGGAGCCAGCCGCCGCAUAGGUGGAGCACGUGAUCGA